rnacentral:rRNA from 1 species
GACGGAGGAUGCAAGCGUUAUCCGGAAUCACUGGGCGUAAAGCGUCUGUAGGCGGUUUAAUAAGUCAACUGUUAAAUCUUGAGGCUCAACCUCAAAAUCGCAGUCGAAACUAUUAGGCUAGAGUAUAGUAGGGGUAAAGGGAAUUUCCAGUGGAGCGGUGAAAUGCGUAGAGAUUGGAAAGAACACCGAUGGCGAAGGCACUUUACUGGGCUAUUACUAACACUCAGAGACGAAAGCUAGGGUAGCAAAUGGG